rnacentral:rRNA from 1 species
UACGUAGGAGGCAAGCGUUGUCCGGAAUUACUGGGUGUAAAGCGCGUGUAGGUGGGAGGCCAAGUCUGUGGUGAAAGCGCCCGGCUCAACUGGGCAGAGUCCAUGGAAACUGGUCACCUGGAGGACGGUAGAGGCGAGUGGAAUUCCCGGUGUAGUGGUGAAAUGCGUAGAGAUCGGGAGGAACACCAGUGGCGAAGGCGGCUCGCUGGGCCGGUCCUGACACUGAGACGCGAAAGCGUGGGGAGCAAACAGG